GACGAACGCUGGCGGCGUGCUUAAUACAUGCAAGUCGAACGGAAACGCCCUGCUUUUGUGCGGUGCUCGAGUGGCGAACGGGUGAGUAACACGUGUGUAACCUGCCCUAGACUUUGGGAUAACUUCAGGUAACUGGGGCUAAUACCGGAUAGGAGCCCCUGCUGCAUGGUGGGGGUUGGAACGUUUCGGCGGGUGCGGAUGGACGCGCGGGUGAUCAGCUUGUUGGUGGGGUAGUUGCUGACCCAGGCUGUGACUGGUAGCCGGCCUGGGAGGGUGGCCGGCCACAAUGGGACUGAGGGACGGCGCAGAGGCGUACGGGAGGCAGCAGGGGGGAAUAUUACACAAUGGGAGGAAGCCGGAGGCAGCAACGCCGCGUGCGGGAUGACGGCCUUCGGGGUGAGAACCGCUGUAGCCUGUGACGAAGCGUGAGUGACGGUAAUGAGUAAAGAAGCACCGGCUAACUACGUG
rnacentral:rRNA from 1 species